rnacentral:rRNA from 1 species
GAUGAACGCUGGCGGCGUGCCUAAUACAUGCAAGUCGAGCGAACAGAUGAGGAGCUUGCUCCUCUGACGUUAGCGGCGGACGGGUGAGUAACACGUGGAUAACCUACCUAUAAGACUGGGAUAACUUCGGGAAACCGGAGCUAAUACCGGAUAAUAUAUUGAACCGCAUGGUUCAAUAGUGAAAGACGGUUUUGCUGUCACUUAUAGAUGGAUCCGCGCCGCAUUAGCUAGUUGGUAAGGUAACGGCUUACCAAGGCAACGAUGCGUAGCCGACCUGAGAGGGUGAUCGGCCACACUGGAACUGAGACACGGUCCAGACUCCUACGGGAGGCAGCAGUAGGGAAUCGUCCGCAAUGGGCGAAAGCUUGACGGAGCAACGCCGCGUGAGUGAUGAAGGUCUUCGGAUCGUAAAACUCUGUUAUUAGGGAAGAACAAAUGUGUAAGUAACUAUGCACGUCUUGACGGUACCUAAUCAGAAAGCCACGGCUAACUACGUG